ACAGAGGUCUCAAGCGUUGUUCGGAUUCAUUGGGCGUAAAGGGUGCGUAGGUGGCGGGGCAAGUCUGGUGUGAAAUCCCGGGGCUCAACCCCGGAACUGCACUGGAUACUGCCUUGCUAGAGCACUGGAGAGGGAACUGGAAUUUACGGUGUAGCAGUGAAAUGCGUAGAUAUCGGGAGGAACAUCUGUGGCGAAGGCGACUACCUGGACCAGCACUGACACUGAGGCACGAAAGCGUGGGGAGCAAACAGGA
rnacentral:rRNA from 1 species